rnacentral:lncRNA from 1 species
GAGGAUACGUUUUCUUAUUCCGGCUGCAUGCUAGGUCGUGCGGGGCAGAUAAGGGUCUUGUAGGUAUCUUGUUCUUCGUGCGUACCUUGCAUGGCUUUCAAGGUAGCUAUAGCUUUGGCCUCCGACGUCCCAAGGUAAUGCACAAUCUGGUAAGGAGUACAGACGUUUUUGCGCCCAACGGAGCCUAUACAGUGUCUUCGGAUGUGUGUUUGGUUGACCUUCGCUCUCCUUCGCUUGCGUUGCUGAUGGGCUAACACCACGAUGCCGCGGUGGUCUUUCCGGAUCCAAAACAGAUCCAGAUUGCUGUCACUCAAAAAUCAAGAUUCAUUAUGCAGCUGCGCCCAUCCUCGUCCACCAUCAUGCGAGAAGGUAAGGCAGAACGCAGCAACCGAAAGGCGGGAUUAGGUUAACGUAUCGCGGGAGCCUUCCAUGCAAAUAUACAGCGCUCUACGCCAUAUAGUAAAAAAUGCUGUACCUCGCAUACUACAUUUUUAAUACAGUUUUGCUUAAUGGGUGUGGGUGGUUAUUGGGAAGCUGUAGCUGCAUUUCCCCAGCAAAGGCCCUGGAAUUAUUGUUUAUCGGCGUUCAUGGGGACUGGCCCUUUGGACUCCAAAGCCCUAGCAGGCACCAACUGUCAACCGUCAACGGACAGUUAACGGCCAUCGGACAGUUUUGCAUUCCACAUCGCGAUGGUUAUCCACAAUUUCUUCAACUGCCUCCACUUCUCUAGAUGGCUUCGCGAACACACUUCUGGAACAAUCCCCCUGGCUCCUUCGGGCUAUCCCAACCACCCAACCACGGUGGCACGGUGGCAAUAUUGCAACGCGUUGGUCGAAUGCCUUGAUGCACAACUGUAGAAAAACCGAAAACCCGAAGUAACGUCUUGAAUGCGUGCCGUGAGAUCUGCUUGCGGUAUGCAGCAGCUGGCGAAGAGAAAUGGACCCACCGCAUCCCCCCCUCCUCUCUCUCUCUCUCUCUCUCUCUCCCUUUCUCCAGUUGCCGCCCCAUAGAUCUAUCCUAAACCAUAUACUACCUGACUGCCAACCACCAACUACCAACCAUUAUUUAUGUAUACAUAUACUAUAGGCAUAUGUAUACCGUCAACUUCCCAACUGCCAACCACCAACGACCUAGGUAUCGUCACCUAGUGCAACCACCGACCUAUCAUCACGCGCUUUUGUCAUAAGGCCCCCUCCUUGCCAUCCAACUUCUCAAGUGGCCAGAGCGUCGCGCAUCCGGUCGAUAAGGCCCACCACGGGGUGCACCAGCCGGGCCCGGGCGGCGCCCGAGGUACCGCCCGGGUGCGGGUGAGUGGGGGCAUUGGCGAAGGCGGCGGACCAGCGCCGACCCAACUUGGCCACCGCAGAAGCAUCC